rnacentral:rRNA from 1 species
CCUUAGUAGCGGCGAGCGAAAGGGGACCAGCCAGCAAUCUUUAUCUUAUUGGUUAGAGGAACGGUCUGGAAAGUCCGGCGAUACAAGGUGAUAGCCCUGUACUUUAAAACCAUUAGGAAGAACUAAGUUUGCAACAAGUAGGUCGGAGCACGAGAAACUUUGACUGAACAUGGGGGGACCAUCCUCCAAGGCUAAAUACUCCCAACUGACCGAUAGUGAACCAGUACCGUGAGGGAAAGGCGAAAAGAACCCGGAGAGGGGAGUGAAAUAGAUCCUGAAACCGUAUGCGUACAAGCAGUAGGAGCACCUUCGGGUGUGACUGCGUACCUUUUGUAUAAUGGGUCAGCGACUUACUUUCUGUAGCAAGCUUAACCGUUUAGGGGAGGCGUAGGGAAACCGAGUCUUAAUAGGGCGAAUUAGUUGCAGGGAGUAGACCCGAAACCAGGCGAUCUAUCCAUGGCCAGGGUGAAGGUUGAGUAACAUCAACUGGAGGCCCGAACCCACUAAUGUUGAAAAAUUAGGGGAUGAGCUGUGGAUCGGAGUGAAAGGCUAAUCAAGCCUGGAGAUAGCUGGUUCUCCGCGAAAUCUAUUUAGGUAGAGCGUCAUGUCUCACCACUGGGGGUAGAGCACUGUUUCGGCUAGGGGGCCAUCCCGGCUUACCAACCCGAUGCAAACUCCGAAUACCAGUGAGUGCAAUCAUGGCAGACACACGGCGGGUGCUAACGUCCGUCGUGAAGAGGGAAACAACCCAGACCGCCAGCUAAGGUCCCUAAAUCACAGUUAAGUGGGAAACGAAGUGGGAAGGCACAGACAGCUAGGAGGUUGGCUUAGAAGCAGCCAUCCUUUAAAGAAAGCGUAAUAGCUCACUAGUCGAGUCGGCCUGCGCGGAAGAUUUAACGGGGCUAAACUGUGUACCGAAGCUGCGGGUGCGUAUUUAUACGCGCGGUAGCGGAGCGUUCUGUACGCCUGUGAAGGUGUGUCGUAAGGCAUGCUGGAGGUAUCAGAAGUGCGAAUGCUGACAUGAGUAACGAUAAGGGGGGUGAAAAACCCCCCCGCCGGAAGACCAAGGUUUCCUGCGCAACGUUAAUCGGCGCAGGGUAAGUCGGCCCCUAAGGCGAGGCGGAAACGCGUAGUCGAUGGGAAGCAGGUUAAUAUUCCUGCACUUACAAUUAUUGCGAUGGAGGGACGGAGAAGGCUAGGCCAGCGCGGCGUUGGUUGUCCGCGUUUAAGCAAGUAGGCUGGGAGUUUAGGUAAAUCCGGACUCCUAAGGCUGAGAUGUGACGACGAACCGAGUCUUUGUACUCGGGAAGUGGUUGAUGCCAUGCUUCCAGGAAAAGCUUCUAAGCUUCAGAUAAUUGUGAACCGUACCCCAAACCGACACAGGUGGUCAGGUAGAGAAUACCAAGGCGCUUGAGAGAACUCGGGUAAAGGAACUAGGCAAAAUGGCACCGUAACUUCGGGAGAAGGUGCGCCGCUUUUGGUGAUGGGACUUGCUCCCUAAGCUGAGGGCGGUCGAAGAUACCAGGUAGCUGCGACUGUUUAUUAAAAACACAGCACUCUGCAAACUCGUAAGAGGAAGUAUAGGGUGUGACGCCUGCCCGGUGCCGGAAGGUUAAUUGAUUGGGUUAGCUUCGGCGAAGCUCAUGAUCGAAGCCCCGGUAAACGGCGGCCGUAACUAUAACGGUCCUAAGGUAGCGAAAUUCCUUGUCGGGUAAGUUCCGACCUGCACGAAUGGCGUAACGAUGGCUACACUGUCUCUACCCGAGACUCAGUGAAAUUGAAUUUGCGGUUAAGAUGCCGUAUACCCGCGGCUAGACGGAAAGACCCCGUGCACCUUUACUACAGCUUUGCACUGGACUUUGAUUUUAUCUGUGUAGGAUAGGUGGGAGACUUUGAAGCAGUCACGCUAGUGAUUGUGGAGUCGACCUUGAAAUACCACCCUGAUAACGUUGAGGUUCUAACUUCGACCCGUAAUCCGGGUUAAGGACAGUGUAUGGUGGGUAGUUUGACUGGGGCGGUCUCCUCCCAAAGAGUAACGGAGGAGCGCGAAGGUACCCUCAGCAUGGUCGGAAAUCAUGCGAUGAGUGCAAUGGCAUAAG